CUGCUUCUCGGCGCCAUUUUGUCUAGGCAGCGGUGGCCGCAGCUCUAUCGCAUUUUAUGUUUCUGGUGGCGCAAGAGCCGACUGUUCGUCCCCUGAAUUCACUUUGGCGCAGCAGCCAUUCACAGUUCCCUCCAGGACAGCACCUGGUGAAGGUCGGAAGGAUCGCGGACCUACCAAAAAGUUUUGCUGAAGAAAACAGGAUAUAUCCGUGACAGAUAUCUGAAAAUAAUCCUGAGUAAGAAUGUAUCUGAAGAAACAUAAGGCCCAUCAUUACAGGCUUUAGACCCAGACCAGGCCUAAGUUUCAGGAGGCAGUUCCUGCAAGUCAGGCCACCCAGCUCUGACUAAUCAAGAACCAACACCAUAAAGUGAUUCCUUCAGCCAAUCUGGGUGCUGUAGCCCACCAUAAGGUGAUUCCCUCAGCCAACCUGAGGACUGUACAUCGACAUGAAGAAAUAUCAUCCACUCCCCUCGUUGGAGGAUGAGAAUUCCCCAGACCCUCAAUAAAAACUCUGUGUAACUGAUGCUCGGGACUCCCUACCACUACCGCUGUGAAGGUAGGAGUCUUGAGCCCAGGCUAAAGCUUGCAAUAAAGGACCCUCAUGUUUUUGCAUCGCAUCGAUACUCUGGUUUGUGGGACCUGAAUAUCUGGGCACAACAUUUGGGGGCUCAUCUAGGAUCCCUCAAGUCCCAGAUUAUCCGAUUUGGAGGGUUUCUUUUCCCUUCUUCUGUUCCUCGAUAAGUGUGUUCCUCUCUGAAUAUGGUACCGUUUCUCUGCAUAGUGGGUCAGCAGGAGGCGUAGGCUGAUGCGUUGGUAGGCUGCCAACCGGGGGUUACAGAAGAUGUUCGGGACUGCCCAGAAGUAGAUUUCUUUAUCGACACUGAUUGAUAAAUGUCAGAAUAGUGCCUUAGAUUCAUCUUUUGUGGAACU